ACCGUAAGACUAACAUAGACGGAGGCCGUCAAUAGCUCAAGCUAUUAGAUAUUUAUAAGAUGGACUUCAAACUCAUUUGCACAUAAAAAUCCACUUUUGACGGUCAAAAAGAUGACAGGACCCUUGUUGGCGCAUGUGGCUGCUGGAGAAAUCGAUCUGACUUGAGACUUUUGCGAUUUGGAGAACCCGUUGUUCAUAAAAUAUAUCCUACGAUGGUUCAAAACAUAAUUUGUAACUUAAUAAGAAACGGAAGAUUCAAUCAAUGUGUUCCUUUGUCCUUGCACUGGCGUAUUAAUCAACUCAUAAGAGCAAAGAACAAAUUCGUAAUAAAAAAGAAAAAGAUCUGCAUGCCAUUUACAUUACAUUGCAAUGUUUAAUUUUUUAUUCGCCUUAAAAUCAAAAUCAAAUCAUUUUCAAAAGAAAUAAAUUAAUUACAACAAAAUACAUAAAUCAAAUUGUUAAGAGGGCUCUAGCAGGCAGCGAGUACCCGACUAAGCAAUACCCUGUAACCUUACAGAAUUUGUCUGUAUUUAAUUAUUGGCUUAGAAAUACAAAAAUAAAGGAAAAUUUACUCAUUCUCCGCAUAA